GCCGGGGUGGCGAAAUUGGUAACCGCAAUUGACUCAAAAUCAAUCGGGGGCAACCCCUUGGGAGUUCGAGUCUCCCCCCCGGCACAA
rnacentral:tRNA from 3 species